UACGUAGGGGGCAAGCGUUGUCCGGAAUCAUUGGGCGUAAAGCGCGUGUAGGCGGUCCGGUAAGUCCGCUCUGAAAGCUGGGGGCUCAACCCUCAGAUGCGGGUGGAUACUGUCGGGCUAGAGUGCGGAAGAGGCGAGUGGAAUUCCUGGUGUAGCGGUGAAAUGCGCAGAUAUCAGGAGGAACACCAAUUGCGAAGGCAGCUCGCUGGGACGUUACUGACGCUGAGACGCGAAAGCGUGGGGAGCAAACAGG
rnacentral:rRNA from 1 species